GGGAGUAUAGCUCAGUGGUAGAGCAUUCGUCUGCAGAUCGGGAGUUCCCGGUUCAAACCCGGGUGCAACCA